rnacentral:rRNA from 1 species
ACCCAGACCGCCAGCUAAGGUCCCAAAGUCAUGGUUAAGUGGGAAACGAUGUGGGAAGGCCCAGACAGCCAGGAUGUUGGCUUAGAAGCAGCCAUCAUUUAAAGAAAGCGUAAUAGCUCACUGGUCGAGUCGGCCUGCGCGGAAGAUGUAACGGGGCUAAACCAUGCACCGAAGCUGCGGCAGCGACGCUUAUGCGUUGUUGGGUAGGGGAGCGUUCUGUAAGCCGUUGAAGGUGGCCUGUGAGGGUUGCUGGAGGUAUCAGAAGUGCGAAUGCUGACAUAAGUAACGAUAAAGCGGGUGAAAAGCCCGCUCGCCGGAAGACCAAGGGUUCCUGUCCAACGUUAAUCGGGGCAGGGUGAGUCGACCCCUAAGGCGAGGCCGAAAGGCGUAGUCGAUGGGAAACAGGUUAAUAUUCCUGUACUUGGUGUUACUGCGAAGGGGGGACGGAGAAGGCUAUGUUAGCCGGGCGACGGUUGUCCCGGUUUAAGCAUGUAGGCGGAGGUUCCAGGUAAAUCCGGUACCUUUU